GAAUGUUUACUAGGAUUAAAUGUCAGGAAUUGUGAGAAACUGAGUUGAAAUGUAUUUGGCUAAGGUGUAUGUAAACUUCCGACUUCAACUGUAUAUGCAGAGAAAAAGGGUCGGCCCGAGAAUUGAACCCUGUGGCACCCCCAUAGAGACUGCAAGUGAAGGAUGUCUGGAAUGCAGUAAAUGAAAUGGUGUCAUACACGUGUGUGGUUGAUAUCAUUCCAUUGACUCCAUUCCAGCCAGGAAGUAUGCGAGAACAAUGUACAGGUAAUUACCUUUGCACUCAAUAGCAGCAUCCAAGCCUCCACCGAGUAUGGAUGGGAGCCGCAGCUGUUGACUGAGGUAAACAAUGCAAUUGUAUAUACAAUUAUCACAUAUAUUAUAGUCUUUCAAAUGUGUGAUUGACUUAGUGUUGUUAUUUGUCUAUUGCUAUUUUUGAAUAUAGUACUUUCAGAUCACUGAAACCCCACCUGAUGUGGUGGAAGUUGUCGAACCAGAUCGGAACGCCUUUGAGGACCACCUUCAGGCACGGACUGAGAAGGAUGUGGAGGUUUUUGACCAUGUAAAAAUAAUUGUCUACUGUUAAUUUAUAUACUGGCCCUCCAAGAGAUAUGUAAGAAAUGUAUUUGUAAUACAGGUGAGACUGAACAUUAUCAAGGUGCAGGAGAAACAGAAGGAGAGCUACCGGAGCAGAAUCAAAAAGGGGACCAAGUGCUACGACCUUCCGGGCGAAUUACUUGGUUUGGAAGAAGGACGAAAGGAUGGCGAGAUCUGAGAAACCUCGCUGCUCUGGGGUCAUGAUCUUUUAAGGGUUACCUCAGUGGAAACAAACAAUCUCCAGUUUUAGCAGUUGGACGGUCGACCACUGAAGCACUGUCGCCCUACACUUCAGUGAAGCCCAAUAGACAAAGACCUAGGGGUUCUGCCCAACACCCAGAUGUGGAUCCACCUGAUGUCCUCCAUUACCAACCAACCUUCAACUUUUCAUUACAUCGUCUACAGCUACUGUUAUUGUCAUGAUGUCAUUAUCUGCUAAGAUAGUUUUCUUGCUCUAUUAUAUUGGGCACAUAAUAUGUGAGAUACACAGAUUAACUAAAAACACUAGCACUGCAAACACUCAGAACAAAGGAAGCAGCAGUGCCUGGACUUCUGUCUCCCUCUUAAGUCCCCCUUUCGAGACUGACAGGCAUAACCUCCCACCCACACAGCAAUCACCUCAAUAUUCCACACACCAGAAUUCAGUAUUUUAGUCUGAUUGCCAUGUGAGUGUACACUUUUUUUUUUACUGACACAAGUCUACCAAAAAAUAUAAAAGUUUAUGUAUUAAAAUUAAAAAGUUGUACGGUA